UACGGGGGGAGCAAGCGUUGUUCGGAUUUACUGGGCGUAAAGGGUGUGCAGGCGGGUCAUUAAGUGGUGUAUGAAAUCGCCCGGCUCAACCGGGCGAGGUUAUGCCAGACUGGUGGUCUAGAGAGCGAGAGAGGGACGUGGAAUUCCGGGUGUAGUGGUGAAAUGCGUAGAGAUCCGGAGGAACCCCAGAGGCGAAGGCGGCGUCCUGGCUCGCAUCUGACGCUCAGACACGACAGCAUGGGGAGCGAACGGG
rnacentral:rRNA from 1 species